ACGGCAGCGCGGGGCAACCUGGUGGCGAGUGGCGAACGGGUGAGUAAUAUAUCGGAACGUACCCUAGAGUGGGGGAUAACGUAGCGAAAGUUACGCUAAUACCGCAUACGAUCUACGGAUGAAAGUGGGGGAUCGCAAGACCUCAUGCUCGUGGAGCGGCCGAUAUCUGAUUAGCUAGUUGGCGGGGUAAAAGCCCACCAAGGCAUCGAUCAGUAGCUGGUCUGAGAGGACGACCAGCCACACUGGAACUGAGACACGGUCCAGACUCCUACGGGAGGCAGCAGUGGGGAAUUUUGGACAAUGGGCGCAAGCCUGAUCCAGCAAUGCCGCGUGAGUGAAGAAGGCCUUCGGGUUGUAAAGCUCUUUUGUCAGGGAAGAAACGGUGGUCUCUAAUACAGGCUGCUAAUGACGGUACCUGAAGAAUAAGCACCGGCUAACUACGUGCCAGCAGCCGCGGUAAU
rnacentral:rRNA from 1 species